rnacentral:tRNA from 1 species
GAGGGUACAGCUCAGUGGUAGAGCGCAUGCUUAGCAUGCACAAGGGCCUGGGGUCAAUCCCCAGUGCCUCCA